rnacentral:rRNA from 1 species
CGCUAACUAGCUAGCUUUGAACAGCAACCCUAACAUCCCCUUAUUAAUAACCCCCUAAACAUCUAAACACCUAGUAAACAAAUCAUUUUACCCCCCAAGUACGAGCGACGGAAAGGGGGCCCCAACAAAAAGCAAUAGAAAAAGUACCGCAAGGGAACGCUGAAAAAGAAAUGAAAUAAAUCAGUUAAGCCUUGAAAAGCAGAGAAACCAUCUCGUACCUUUUGCAUCAUGUUUUAGCCAGUAACCCCCAAGCAAAGCGCACUUUAGUUUGGGCCCCCGAACCUAAGCGAGCUACUCCAAGACAGCCUAUCUAUAGGGCAAACCCGUCUCUGUGGCAAAAGAGUGGGAAGAUCUUUGAGUAGGGGUGACAGACCUAUCGAGCUUAGUUAUAGCUGGUUGCCUAGGACCUGAAUAGGAGUUCAGCCCCUUGGCUUCUUUAUUCCUCCCGUUAAGAUUUACUCUUAACUUACAACUUCCCCGCCACCUCAGAUGUUAAAGAAACCAAGGGAGUUACUCGAAGGGGGUACAGCCCCUUUGAGACAAGAUACAACUUUCUUAAAAGGUUAAAGAUCACACCUUAUCACAAGGCUAAAUGUUCGAGUGGGCCUAAGAGCAGCCACCUCCCAGAAAGCGUUAAAGCUCAGACAUUCUUCCUACCUAUAAUUCCGCCAGAAAAAUCUUAUACCUUUGAUUUUACUAGGCCUUCCCAUGUUUCCCAUGAGGAUGACCCUGCUAAUAUGAGUAAUAAGAAAGGCUUACGCCUUCCUCCCCGCACAAGUGUACAUCGGAACGAACCAAGCUCCGAACCUUAACGAACCCAACCAAAGAGGGCACUGAAAACCCAUAAGAGAAGCCAGAAGACUAUUCAAUAUAACCCAUGACUUUCGUUAACCCCACACUGGUGUGCAUACUUGGAAAGACUAAAAGAAAGAGAAGGAACUCGGCAAACAAAUGAAGCCUCGCCUGUUUACCAAAAACAUCGCCUCUUGCAAACAACGAAUAAGAGGUCCCGCCUGCCCCCUGACUAUAUGUUCAACGGCCGCGGUAUUUUGACCGUGCGAAGGUAGCGCAAUCACUUGUCCUUUAAAUGGAGACCUGUAUGAAUGGCAUAACGAGGGCUUUACUGUCUCCUUUUUCCAGUCAAUGAAAUUGAACUCCCCGUGCAGAAGCGGAGAUCUAUACAUAAGACGAGAAGACCCUAUGGAGCUUUAGACUAAGUGGGCAGACUACGUAAAGCACCCUUGAAGAAAAGACUAAACUGUAUGAACACUGUCCCAAUGUCUUUGGUUGGGGCGACCCUGGGGAACAAAAAUCCCCCAUGAAGACAGGGAGAACACCAAUUAUCCUCCUGCAACUAAGAACUACAAUUCUAAUUAACAGAACUAUCUGACUUUAUAAGAUCCGGCGCACGCCGAUUAACGGACCGAGUUACCCUAGGGAUAACAGCGCAAUCCUCUUUCAGAGUUCCUAUCGACAAGAGGGUUUACGACCUCGAUGUUGGAUCAGGACAUCCUAAUGGUGCAGCCGCUAUUAAGGGUUCGUUUGUUCAACGAUUAAUAGUCCUACGUGAUCUGAGUUCAGACCGGAGUAAUCCAGGUCAGUUUCUAUCUAUGAAGUGUUCUUCUCUAGUACGAAAGGACCGACGAAGGAGAGGUUUCUACUUAAGGUACACCUCGACCCUACCUACUGAACUCAACUAAAGCAGGCAAAGGGAUUCACUUCUACGCCCCAAAAGAACGGUGU